GGAUGAAAAACACACCCCCUGUGAAUUUUUUCCAGGUUGGGAAGAUGUCAUGGAGUAGAAGCGUUCUUAAUUUCCUUGCAUCAAAUUUCAAACCAAAAUAUGCAGAUGAACACGAAUAAAAUAAGAACUAAAGCGGCUACUUUCCAAAUUAGUAUAGGAGAAAUAGUUAAGAAGAUUUAAUAAAUAAAUCCAAAAGGAGAGCAGAAAGCCACUGGGCCGAUGCAGUGGCUCAUGCCUGUAAUCCCAGCACUUUGGGAUACCGAGGCAGGUGGCUCACCUGAGGUCAGGAGUUCGAGACCAGCCUGGGCAACACGGUGAAACCUUGUCUCUACUAAAAAUAUAAAAAUUAGCCAGUUGUGGUGGCGCACACCUGUAAUCCCAGCUACUCAUGAGGCUGAGGCAGGAGAAUUGCUUGAACCGGGGAGGCAGAGGUUGUUGUGAGCUGAGAUCAUGCCACUGCAUUCUGGCCAGGGUGGCAGAGAGAGACUCCAUCUCAAAAAAAGAAAAGAAAAGAGUCGUGCGAGAUGCUGAACCUGUGAUGUAACUAGAAAUAAAACAGUGAAGGUGAAUCCAGGUCCUUAGGAGUAGAGGGCAGGCCAACGUAUGUGUUGUCACCAGAGGUGACUGAAAUCCAAGAAGGGAAGGCAGGAGGUCAGGGUCUGGAGUAACACCUCUGCUGAAAGGGCCAAGGGCAUUUUGUGGCCUUUUUAAUAUCUCAAAAAGAGACUUCAAGGCAGAACCUUGGCUAGGGUUAAAAGAGCUCUCACAUGGUAAGAGUUUGAGUUCUUCAGAAAACCUAACAGUUAUUGACUCCUGGGCUUUUAACACAGCCUUGGAACAGAAAUACCUAGAAUUGACAAGAUAAUUAUGCUUAACUGUAUGAAACUGGAGAUAUCCAAUGCUUUUGACCUCCAGGAACAGUAAUUACAUAUGGCUCAACCUACUGUUAAUAAAAAUAGACAAGUCUAACAUCAUGAAAUAUUUAACACAAAUUUUUCUAUAAGUAGAUCAAGAAGAAAAUAAAACAAUAGACAGUUGAUUGGAAAAAGAGCAAACAAAAACAUUCCCAAAGAUCCUACACAAUGUGAUUUCAUUACAUGAUAUGAAGAAUAUGAGUAGCUACACACUGAAUUGCUUAGGAAAAUAGAUGUGCAUAGUAAAACUAGAGGAGAAAACCAGAGAACAACCAACACAAGAGUGGGAAUUGGGGCUCCCAUUCAGGGAAGAGACGGUAGCAGGUGCAGAAGGAAAAGCCUACAAAGGAAAUUCCAUUUUUCCAGUUCUGUAUCCCUUAAGCCACACAGUGGGUACAGAGCCUCUGUGUGUCCUUUAUACACUGCCUACAUCAUGAAUAUUCAUUUGCAUCUAUUAAUAGUUUAAAAUAAUUUUUAAAUAAAAUUAUAUCAGUAAAUCAUAACAGCUCUACAUUUAAGGAAAAAUAUUUCCUUAAAUGUAAAUAUUCCUUAAUAAGGAAUGUAAACAUUCCUUAAAUGUAAAUAUUCCUUAAUAAGGAAUGUAAACAUUUCUUAAAUGUAAAUAUUCCUUAAUAAGGAAUGUAAACAUUCCUUAAAUGUAAAUAUUCCUUAAUAAGGAAUGUAAACAUUUCUUAAAUGUAAAUAUUCCUUAAUAAGGAAUGUAAACAUUCCUUAAAUGUAAAUAUUCCUUAAAUGUAAAUAUUUCCUUAAAGUUGAAAAUGGUGAUUUGUCAGCAUUUGAAAAAAAGAUUAGGAAGUUUCCUGCUGGUAACAGUCUGAUGUGUAGCUUUGCCUUAAAAAUGGAAAUUACAGAGCUAUCAUCAGGAAAGUUGCAAUAAAUAGGUUGGGCACGGUGGUUCAGCCUGUAAUCCCAGCACUUUGGGAGGCCAAGUGCUAAGAUCAGGGCAGAUCGCCUGAGGUCACGGGUUCAAAACCAACCUGGCCAACGUGGUGAAACCCUGUCCCCACUAAAAAUACAGAAAUUAGCCAGGUGUGGUGGCACAUGCCUGUAGUCCUGGAUAGUCAGGAGGCUGAGGCAGGAGAAUCGCUUGAACCUGGGAGGAGGAGGUUGCAGUCACCUGAGAUCAUGCCACUGCACUCCAGCCCAGGUGACAGAGCAAGACUCCAUCUCAAAAAAAAAAAAAAAAAAAAAAAAGACAAGUUGCAAUAAAUAUAUGUAGAGAAAUGUCUUCUUUAGAUGGGUAUACACACAGAUAGAUAGCUAGAUAGACAGACAGUUGCAUAGAUAAUUAGGUUCCUGACUAUAAAAGCACAUUAAGUAGAUAUUGCAAUAAAUGAAAAAAUGAGUAAUACAGAUUCCUAUAUUCCAUGGGUUUUUAGAUGAAUAGAAGACAUAAGAACAGAGUUUCUAGACUAAUAGAAGACAUAACACAAGAAUAUAAGACAGUAUGGUAAAUUCUGUAAAAGUGAUAUAAGCAAGAAUUAGAAGGUUCAGAGGUGGCAUAGAGUGAUUAGAGAAAUCAAAGCAGGCUUCGUGGAGGAGGUGGGCUUUGGAAUCCGGCGGAAGAGCAGGAGGGUGCAUUGAUUUGAAGUUCCCUUAAUUCUUUGUGGCACUCUUCUCCACUAGCCCGCAGCUCCUGAGAGCAGGAAGGACUGACUCCUGUUUUGUUCCUCUCUCUGACUAUAGGCAGCAGUGAGCCCCCCUGCCUCUGAUUGUCAUCUUUGGGGGCCAGAGAAGUGAGCAGCUAUCCUUCCCAGUCCCUGGUCCCUCCAAGCAGUGACAACAAAGAAUGGACCAGGCGAGGCAUUGUGUGUAGACACGUGAGACUUCUCAUCCAGGGUCAAGAGGAGAAGCAGCGGAUUAGGAGUGCCAUGACUUAAAGUUAACCUCUUUAGAGCAGAUGAGCCCUGCUUAUUCUAGGGCAUUCAGCUAUGUCUAAUCAAUCGCUCCUGUGCUUGGAAGAAUGGGAACACGACACAGUUUCCCCUUCUUCCUUGUUUAUCUCACUGUAGCGGUGAGAUAGACGAUGGUCACAUUGGUACCAUCACGGCGCUGCGGUCAUAGCAGUCCCUAUUUAUCCCACAGGUUCCCCUGAAUUCCGAGGCAUCCCACAUUUCACAUGAGCAAAUAGCCUUGACACCUGCCGCGUCUCCAGGACAAUAGGCAUUUCUGACCCACAUGAUCUGCACAAAGAAGAAAGCCUCUCUCUCUUUCUCACCACUGCAUCCCCAACUGAUGUGGACCGUGAUACAUAAUUGGAGUUAAAUAAAUAGUUGAGGUUGUCCUGGGGGUCGUGCCUUUUUAAGGCUAUGUGAUUAUGCCAAUUCAUAGAAAACAUGAGAUGAUUAAAAAGAGAAAUAAUUGGCCAGGCGCAGUGGCUCACACCUGUAACCCCAACAGUUUGGGAGGCCGAGGUGGGUGGAUCACCUGAGGUCAGGAGUUUGAGACCAGCCUGACCAAGAUGGUGAAACCAUGUCUCUUCUAAAAAUACAAACAUUAGGCUGGGCGUGGUGGCUCACACCUGUAAUCCCAGCACUUUGAGAGGCCAAGGCGGGCUGAUCACAAGGUCAGGAGAUCGAGACCAUACUGGCUAACACAGUGAAACCAUCUCUACUAAAAAAAAAUACAAAAAAAUUAGCUGGGCAUGGUGGCGGGCACCUGUAGUCCCAGCUGCUGGGGAGGCUGAGGCAGGAGAAUGGCAUGAACCCGGGAGAUGGUGCUUGCAGUGAGCCAAGAUCAUGCCACUGCACUCCAGCCUGGGCGACAGAGCAAGACUCCAUCUCAAAAAAAAAAAAAAAUACAAAAAUUAACCAGGCAUGGUGGCAGGCACCUGUAAUCCCAGCUACUUGGGAGGCUGAGGCAGAGAAUUGCUUGAACCUGGGAGGCGGAGGUUGCAGUGAGCCGAGAUUGCGCCACUGCACUCCAGCCUGGGCGACAGAGUGAGACUCUGUCUCAAAAAAAAAAAAAAAAAAAAAAAAAAAAGAAAGAAAAGAAAAGAAAAGAAAUAAUUGAAAAAAUCAAAACAGCAAGAAGGGCUGCCACAUAAGAAGAGGCUUAGAAGAUUUCCAAGGAAGGUUAAAAUCAAAGAAUAAUAGAGUUUAAAUCUGCACAAUCAUGAAGAAAAACUAUAAAAAACUACAAAUAAACUAUAGAUGGUCUCUCAUCUUACAGCUACAAAAUUAUAGAAAACAGAAAGAGAAAAGCUAAAGAAGAAAAUGUCACAGCUAAAAAUGGAAAUAUAUUUCCAAACAUUGUGAUUGUUUCAUGGGCACUUUAACCACAGUGAAUUAUUCAGGAGACUGAAAUGUUUGUGGUGGACCCCUGGGAAGCUCAGCAAGUAUUCCUUAGGUGCCCCCCAUGAAGUAAAAUACAUUUGGAGGCAAAUCGAGUUCCCAACAUGAUAAGAGUUUAAGUAACAGAAGACAGAGUGCCCUUCUCCCAGCAACCAGCUGUGGAUUUACUCGCAGAAUCUCUAAUACUAAAAUGACUGAGAGGAGUUGCCAGAGGCACAAAGCCCUGAUUUAAAAUCAGCAGAACCUUUGGGCUUUCAUUACUGCAGUGAUCCCAAGGUCAGAUUGUCUUUACUUUUGUAUUGUCAGUUUUCCAAGGUCAAAUACUUCAGCAUCUUUUCAACUGUUCCUUGAGCAAAUGUAAAAAUCAGGGCCGGGCGCGGUGGCUGAGGCCUGUAAUCUCAGCACUUUGGGAGGCUGAGGCAGGUGGAUCACGAGGUCAGGAGUUUGAGACCAGCCUGGCCAAUAUGGUGAAACCCCAUCUCUACUAAAACAAAUGCAAAAAUUAGCCGGGCGUGGUGGCAUGCACCUAUAGUCCCAGCUACUUGGGAGGCUGAGGCAGGAGAACUGCUGGAACCCGGGAGGCGGAGGUUGUAGUGAGCUGAGAUAACACCACUGCACUCCAGCCUGGGCAACAGAGUGAAACUCCAUCAAAAAAAAAAAUCAGGACAAUUUUUAUAAGGCAUUUCUUAUAGAGAUUUGCAGAAGACAGGGGACACAAAAGAAGCAAGCACCACUGGUCUUCUGGGCACAGAGAGAUGUGCCCCAUGGCUCCUGAUGCUCUCUAGGAGGGCCUUCCAAUGAACAGCGGGCCUGGGAGCAUUUGAGGGAAACAGCAGAAGCACUGACUCACUCCAAAGAUGAAGGGGGUGUCCUUCCUAACCCCGGAGUGGUGCCCCUCCCAACACUGGGUGAAGUGAUCAAAACCUCUCCCAACAAUUUUGGUCCUCUGACACCAGGUAGGUGAUACAAGGGAACCCACUUUUUACAGACACAAAGUAAAAGUGACUGUUGACUAAUCAUGAUUAUUAAUAAGCAUAAGACAGUCCAAGUAAAAUUCCGAUAGAGACUACAUUAUCAGGGAAGUGUAUAUAUGAUCACAAUUUAUCUGGGUCUUAGGUUUUUAAUAUGUACACACACACCCGUGUGCACACACACGUAUGUAAGUUGUUAACAAAGUAGGGAUUAACAGUAAAUAAAACAUCGUGAUUGUACAGUGAGGCCAAAGAAGUUACACAAAAACUAAGUGGAAUGAAACUGAGCUUUAUCAUUUUAAAAUUUGGUGGGUUUUUUUUUUGUUUGUUUUUUGUUUUUUGAGACGGAGUCUCGCUGUGUCCCCCAGGCUGGAGUGCAGUGGUGCGAUCUCGGCUUACUGCAAGCUCCGCCUCCCGGGUUUAGCCAUUCUCUUGCCUCAGCCUUCCGAGUAGCUGAGACUACAGGCACCCGCUACCACGCCCGGCUAAUUUUUUGUAUUUUUAGUAGAGACGGGGUUUCACCGUGUUAGCCAGGAUGGUCUCGAUCUCCUGACCUCAUGAUCCGCCCGUCUCGGCCUCCCAAAGUGCUGGGAUUACAGGCGUGAGGCACCACUCCGGCCUUAAAAAUUGUUUUUAAUUGCUGAACAAAUUUCUAAAAGAAACACGAGUAAAGCUGCCAACUGCAACGACACUUUCUUCGGAUUCUAUCAGAGGGAUUUUCAUUUGAGUUUCGCAGCACGUAUUUAGAAUCGCUGCAGUCUUUUACAACCAGAGAAAUGGCAUCUUCCAAGCUCACUCUCCACUGAAAAAAGAGUCAAGAUUUCCUCUCUGCAAAUAUCCUAAAAAUAUCAACCUUGUAGCAGGUAGGCAUCAGAAUAGCCAUUGUAAGGAGAGAGACUAAACCACUAGAUCACCUAAUAACUGCAUUUCCAGGAAAGCUUGAACAAAAGAGAAAACAAGACACAGAGUGACUUAUCUACCAAUGCCUCAUUACACAAAGAGCUUCCAGAAAUUCUACCAUGGAUUAUGAAUUUAUUUUGCCAAAUAGGCAGACUUCAUUACCUGGCCAGUUCUAACUGUGGUUUUUGGGACCUUCAGGAUUUAGCAUCACUUAGGAACACGAUGCCACGUUUUCCUGAAAUAAAGCUUACUGCUAAGUUUAACUACUUUAAACGAUAUUUAACAGCAAUCUCUCAGUCCCUUUGAUAGACAAUAAUUAAGCAUUUCCUGUGCUUCAGCAAUGUGGUGCCUGCUUUUGUAGUAGAUAAAUUCACAACCUCCUGCUGUCAGCAGUCAGGAUGUGGUAUGGGGUGUCUAGUCAGGUACAGAGUAUUUCACUUGUCUUAACCCCAUGGUGAGGGGAUGCAAACUCAGACUUAGUGCUCAAAUAUUUUCCAAAGCGACAGACACAGUUGGUAGGUUGUGAGAAUAACAUUUGAACCUAGGUCUUUUUACCCUCUAAGCUUGCAUGAAUUUCAAUUCUAAAAUGUAUUUUUACAUCUUUGCUGUCUAACAUAGAAGAAUCAGCAGAAUUUAACUUUGGAUUUUCUUUAUUGUGAUAACUCUAGAAGUAUCAUUGUUCUGAGAAGUAAAACUCUGAUUUCUUUUUUGUUGUUGUUCAAUAACCCAUGUCUGGCACGGCUCUUCAACGAGUCCUCUGCAGUGCUCAUGGGGCUUUUCUUGACUUAAUUAUAAUGGCAAUUACCUUCAGAAAGCAACGUGAAGCUUUCAGUAUUCUAGCAUUUGAUCUUCACAACAAGCAGACCCGCAAAACCUAUUGUCCUUUGCAUUUCCUCUAUUUAAAUUUUAUAGAAAACAUAAUCUUCUUGAUACCAUCAUUUUGGAGAUGAGAAAUGGCAACUACUUCAAAAUGAAUCUUCAACAGCAGUUGGAGGAGAUUUAAAGACAAUGCAUGCAUGAAGAUGGGCGUGAGAUGCCAGUAACUCCAUGAAUUAGAGUUUCACAUAAGCCAAACCCUCACAGAAUGUCUGCAAAAAAACCCAAGGAAGACGGGGAUAGUUUGACCUCAGCUGUCCACUGCUAGUGGAGAGUAUUUAAGAUAAUCAUUUUAGUAACUUUAGGAUACAAUUAUUUUUAGGAUCUUCCUGUGCUAUUGGCAGUGGGCUGUUUCUCAGUUUGCUGUUGAUUUUUGGUCAAUAGCUGUUACAUGUUACAUGAUCAGAUGUUAUAAUCAAUUAGUUUUAUAUUUUUUCUUUUAAUUGUUUUCCAUAUUGAAACCCACGUGUCAUAAUCUAAUAAUGCUGGAGCUGCAGAGUGUCUCUGAGUUUGAUUUUUGCAAAGACAUUGAUGCAUUUCAAGAAACUAAAGAUAAUAAUGGCAUGGAUAAUAAUUAUACAUUACAUUAAAAAGAAUUAACAGGCGUGGGGUGGUGACUCACGCUUGUAAUCCCAGUACUUUGGGAGGCUGAGGCAGGUGGACCACCUGAGGUCAGAAGUUUAAGACUAGCCUGGCCAACAUGGUGAAAACCUGUCUCUACUAAAUUACAAAAAUAAGCCGGGCAUAUUGGCUCAUGCCUGUAGUCCCAGCUACUUGGGAGGCUGAGAAACAAGAAUCAUGUGAACCUGGGAGGCAGAGGCUGCAGUGAGCCGAGAUCACACCACUGCACUCCAGCCUGGGUGACAGAGAGAGACUCUGUCUCAAAAUAAAUAAAUAAAUAAAUAAAUAAAUAAAUAAAUAAAAAUAAAAGGAAUUAACAAAGAAUUUCUUGAUGGUAAAAUCACCCGUGUGUUUAUAUCAGUGGCCUUUAUGGCUCUGUGUGUCUGUAUGGUGUGGAGAGUGUAUCCUGAGCUAUGUUCCUCUUAUUUUACCUAUAAGCACAUGAUCUGCUUUAUUAUUAUAUUUAAAUAUCCUUAUUGAAUUAUAGUAUGAUGUGCAUUCACAUACAUUUUAUGUAUUUCAAUAAAGACAAAGCGGAGGUUCAACUUAUCCCUUUGUAUGUAACUAACUGUCAUUGUCUGUUUGCCUCAUGGAUCUUAAAAGCCUUCAAGGUGAAGACCAAGCUAAAAUUAUUGAUGUAUCCCCAAUACUCAUAAUAACAUCCUGUCCAAAGUGAUAGCUUAAUAACAGUUUGAAGAGUAAAUUAAUAACUUCAAGAUUAUUUUAUGUAUUUGAAGCUUAGGCAAAGGAGAGUCAAUGAUGCAUUAUCAGAAGACCAUAAAGGAUAUCAAUCUUGCAGACCUGGGAAACCAAGAUAAAUAAAAUGUAUGCUUUUCUAUCAUUCAUAGGGGUGCCCUGUGUGGGAUGUUUUGGCCGUUUUUAAACCUGACAAAAUCUGGCAAAGUUUGCCUUCUCUUGAGGUAUUCCUGGCCCUCCACCCUCCUGGCUUCCUGUAGAUUGCACCCACCCUUGUCCCAGAAGAAUGAAUUACUCACUUCCAGAGAAAAGAUAAUCAAAGUGUGGUAUAGAAUGACGCUGGAUGAGAAUGUUUGUUUCUCCAUAAUUCUGUAACGUCUUCGAGAGUUUGGAAUUUUAAUACCCCACCCUAGUUCACUUCCUAGCACAUAGUUGGUAUUCAAAUAAUUUCUUAAAGCAUAGUGUUCAAUAAAUCUUUAGAUAAAAAAAUUGUGAAAAGUAAAAAGUAUAUUUUAAUAGGAGUAAAACUAGACAUUAUGAUAGAAUCUGAAUAAAAAGGGAAGCAUGACCUUUAGCCUGGGGAAGAAUAUCCUAUAAGAAUUCCAUAGAAUAUCUCUUAGUAAAUGUAGUAAAAACACCCAUUGAUCAAAAGAAAUUGGAUCUAUGGCUCAUAAUAACAUCUCAUUGAUUGAAAAGCACUUUGUAAUAGCUUUCUUCCAUGUGAUAUCUGUCAGGCAUUAACCUUUCAGCCUCCUGAUCAUGUGAAAGGAAUUCUUUGCUUAUGCCACUGCUCAUAUGACCCCAUCCAUGACAUUUCAUAAAUUGCAUCUAUUGAACAGAGAUUUUGGGUUUUCUGGAACUGAAAAAUCCAUUGCCAAAGCAAGGCAUUUCUCUAUGGAUUGUAUGAUAGAAUUUAGCCAUAUGCUCUAGAGACCUGGAGCUAUUUUAGCAAACUUGACUACCUCUGAAAAAUGACUACUUACAAAGAGAUAAGUAAGUUUCAAAUUUUAGAACAUGUAGGGUUCACAUAGAAAUACAUUUAGAAGCAAUCAUAUAUUUAUUUACUCUUUUAAGGACACAUUUAAAAACAUAAAGUGUUCCUCUUAUUUAAAGCAAUGAGUUAAAAUUAUACCAAAUUCUGUACAUAAAAAAGUGAAUAUGCUAAUAAAAUAGUCCACCAAGUUUUAUUAUUAACACUAGGAAAUCAAUCUGCAUGUCCUAACAAAUAAAUAACAAAAUAGAUGAGCAUUUUAACAAAAUAUAAUCUCUUGUAAUUCCAGCUUCAAGCUUGUGUUGCUUUCUUAAGCAGAAAU
rnacentral:lncRNA from 1 species